CCGUAUAUAGGGAGGGGGAGAACGAGUCUAGGUCAGUUAUCUUCAGUUGUACGAACACAUCAAUCAACUCUUACCCAUUCAACGAGUCCAAAUCUACCAUGUUCUCCAGAAACGAUAUCUUCAACAUUGUCUUCACCUUUGUGCUGAGUCUGGCGACCUCCUACGCAGCCGCGCUCAGUGAGAACGACGACAUGAUGCUCGAGUCAGCAGAGAUCGUCGCUGAGCACGCCGCUGAGGGUGGAUUCUACGGAUAAGUUCCUCAACCAAUCCCCCGGACUGUUACAAGCGCAAGAGUUGUACAACGGUGUUGUCAUGGUGACAACAGUGUUGUUGUCAUAACGACGACAAUAUUGUCAUAAAACCGACGACAGCGCUGUCAACUUUUGUGUGUUUUGGUUUUUACUCCUUUACGGACACGGACAUCUCGUAACCACUAUAUCGUCGUAGCGUUUUUCGGUAGCUCUUAUGUAAAAACUUUAGAUGAUGGUUCUAGAAUGUUCGAUAAUGUUCUAGAAUGUUCGAGAAUGUUCUAGAACUUCAGUAGAUGACAGUGCAGAUUGUGCUUGUUGUAGUUUGUAGCUUAAUUAGACAGUUUGAUGUUUUAAACAAGAAAAUAAUAUGUUUUAGAGUUAUGAUGUACUGAAGUUCGCCCUGAUUUCCCCUGAUCUUGCAUUAACUUUUAA